GUUGUAUGGUUAAGUGACUAAGCGUACACGGUGGAUGCCUGGGCAGUCAGAGGCGAUGAAGGACGUACUAACUUGCGAUAAGCGCAGAUAAGGCAGUAAGAGCCGUUUGAGUCUGCGAUUUCCGAAUGGGGAAACCCAACUGCAUAAGCAGUUACUGUUAACUGAAUACAUAGGUUAACAGAGCAAACCGGGGGAACUGAAACAUCUAAGUACCCCGAGGAGAAGAAAUCAACCGAGAUUCCGGUAGUAGCGGCGAGCGAACCUGGAUUAGCCCUUAAGCACUCGGUGAAGUAGGUGAACAAGCUGGAAAGCUUGGCGAUACAGGGUGAUAGCCCCGUAACCGACGCUUCAUCGAGCGUGAAAUCGAGUAGGGCGGGACACGUGACAUCCUGUCUGAAUAUGGGGGGACCAUCCUCCAAGGCUAAAUACUCCUGACUGACCGAUAGUGAACCAGUACCGUGAGGGAAAGGCGAAAAGAACCCCUGUGAGGGGAGUGAAAUAGAACCUGAAACCGUGUACGUACAAGCAGUGGGAGCCCUUCGUGGUGUGACUGCGUACCUUUUGUAUAAUGGGUCAGCGACUUAUAUUCAGUGGCAAGGUUAACCGUAUAGGGGAGCCGUAGCGAAAGCGAGUCUUAACUGGGCGCUCAGUCUCUGGAUAUAGACCCGAAACCGGGUGAUCUAGCCAUGGGCAGGUUGAAGGUUGAGUAACAUCAACUGGAGGACCGAACCGACUAAUGUUGAAAAAUUAGCGGAUGACUUGUGGCUAGGGGUGAAAGGCCAAUCAAACUCGGAGAUAGCUGGUUCUCCCCGAAAGCUAUUUAGGUAGCGCCUCGGACGAAUACU
rnacentral:rRNA from 1 species